UGCCUAGCAACUCCUAUCCCUACCUCCUCGCGGUACGGGUACCCUUAGAGAAGAUAGG
rnacentral:ribozyme from 1 species